GGAGCAGGCUCCAAGAAGAACAAGAAUUUCACAUUUCUUCAUGUAUCUGUCAUCUUGAGGACUCCAUCUUUCUCCACCAAAACACAGAGUGAGAAAGCUGAAUUCCAAAGAGGGGAGGGCACUUAAUCCAACUCACUCAAAGAGUGAGAACACUGGGG